GAUGAAGAACGCAGCGAAAUGCGAUACGUAAUGUGAAUUGCAGAAUUCAGUGAAUCAUCGAAUCUUUGAACGCAUAUUGCGCUCUCUGGUAUUCCGGAGAGCAUGCUUGUUUGAGUAUCAGUAAACACCUCAACUUCCAUAUCCUUUUUGAAAUGGGAGUUGGACUUGAGUGAUCCCAACGCUUUUCCUCACCGAAAAGUGGCGGGUUACUUGAAAUGCAGGUGCAGCUGGACUUUUCUCUGAGCUAUAAGCAUAUCUAUUUAGUCUGCCUAAAAAACAGAUUAUUACCUUUGCUGCAGCUAACAUAAAGGAGAUUAGUUCUUGUGCUGACUGAUGCAGGAUUCACAAAGACAGGCUUCGGCCGACUUUGUAAACUCGAUCUCAAAUCAAGUAAGACUACCCGCUGAACUUAAGCAUAUCAAUAAGCGGAGGA
rnacentral:misc_RNA from 1 species